rnacentral:rRNA from 1 species
GACGAACGCUGGCGGCGUGCUUAACACAUGCCAGUCGAACGGUGAACGAGGGAGCUUGCUCCCUCCGGAUCAGUGGCGAACGGGUGAGUAACACGUGAGCAAUCUGCCCCGAACUCUGGGAUAAGCGUUGGAAACGACGUCUAAUACCGGAUACGACGCGGGAGGGCAUCCUCUCCGCGUGGAAAGAACUUCGGUUUGGGAUGAGCUCGCGGCCUAUCAGCUUGUUGGUGAGGUAACGGCUCACCAAGGCGACGACGGGUAGCCGGCCUGAGAGGGUGACCGGCCACACUGGGACUGAGACACGGCCCAGACUCCUACGGGAGGCAGCAGUGGGGAAUAUUGCACAAUGGGCGCAAGCCUGAUGCAGCAACGCCGCGUGAGGGACGACGGCCUUCGGGUUGUAAACCUCUUUUAGCAGGGAAGAAGCGAAAGUGACGGUACCUGCAGAAAAAGCACCGGCUAACUACGUG